AGAUUAAAAUGUUAAGAAACCAUGUACUCUCUUUGGUAGUCACCAAAUAAUAUUUGUGUUAUAAUAUUAUAUGAGGUAGAAUAUAAGAGAUUAAAUAUAUUAUCAUUAUAAUGCUAUUUGCUAUUUUCUGUACUGGUACAGGUACUGUAAACAUGUAACUUUUACAAAUUAUAUUUAACUUUUUCUUAUUAUGUAAGUCAUAAUGCUUUAAAGAAAAUAUCCUAUUUUGAUAUUUUAAGUCUUGUGAAUGAAUUAUAAACAGAAUGUUAAUUUUAUGACCAGAGAAAGAGGUUGUUUGCAAGCAGAAAAACUUGGAAUCAAAUAAACAAUUUUAAAUAAAACAUCAACUUUUAUCCAGCCAUUGUCAAAAAUAAAUAGUAAAUGAAGAAAAUAAUUUAUCUUCCUCCUAUCUCAAUCUUAGUUGGAAAUGGGUACCAAUUUAGCAUCACAAAUAGUAUAUUACAAUUACUUAUUGACUAGACUGAUAAUUUCAGCCUUUCUUAAUUUCAGUGGGUUAACCAAAUUGAGAGCUAAACUCCAUGAAUUUAAACAAAAACAAAUAAACAUAAACUACUGUUGGGCUAUGUCUCCAUUACCCUGUAUUCUUAGCUUAAGGAUAUGUUUAUUCUACUAAACGCACUUUAGAAAUAUGCUUUUCCAACAUCCAUUUCAAUUUCCUUUUUGCAUACAGUGAUUAGAAUGCUUAAAAUAUUACAAUUUAGCCUCCAUUAAAGCUAUAGUUUGGAAGAAUUUCUUUUUACUUAUUGAUUGUACUUGCAAGAGACUUUGAUUUGAGACUGAAUUGUGUGGCUAGAGGAGCUAGGUGCAGGGCUUCUGCUUUGAUCUAGCACUUUACAGCAGCAAUGGUAAUGUUUUUCUGUGAACAUU
rnacentral:lncRNA from 10 species